ACAACAUUGGGACCGUCGGUCUACCGAGCAAUAUCAUCCGCUUGGUUCAAGAUCUUCCCUCUGUGGU
rnacentral:pre_miRNA from 1 species